GUGUCAGCAGCCGCGGUAAUACAGAGGGUGCGAGCGUUGUCCGGAAUCACUGGGCGUAAAGGGCGCGUAGGUGGCGGGAUAAGUGUGUGGUGAAAGCUCGGGGCUCAACCCCGAGUCUGCCAUGCAAACUGUCUUGCUCGAGCGUAGUAGAGGCAGGUGGAAUUCCGGGUGUAGCGGUGGAAUGCGUAGAGAUCCGGAAGAACACCGGUGGCGAAGGCGGCCUGCUGGGCUACUGCUGACACUGAUGCGCGACAGCGUGGGGAGCAAACAGGAUUAGAUACCCUGGUAGUCC
rnacentral:rRNA from 1 species